rnacentral:rRNA from 1 species
UACAGAGGUCCCGAGCGUUGUUCGGAUUCACUGGGCGUAAAGGGUGCGCAGGUGGGUUGGCAAGUUUGAUGUGAAAGCCCCGGGCUUAACCCGGGAAAGGCAUUGAAUACUGCUGAUCUGGAGGAUCGGAGGGGGGACUGGAAUUCUUGGUGUAGCAGUGAAAUGCGUAGAUAUCAAGAGGAGCACCAGUGGCGAAGGCGAGUCCCUGGACGAUACCUGACACUGAGGCACGAAAGCCAAGGGAGCAAACAGG